AGUGAACGCUGGCGGUAGGCCUAACACAUGCAAGUCGAACGGCAGCACAGUAAGAGCUUGCUCUUACGGGUGGCGAGUGGCGGACGGGUGAGGAAUACAUCGGAAUCUACUUUUUCGUGGGGGAUAACGUAGGGAAACUUACGCUAAUACCGCAUACGACCUACGGGUGAAAGCAUGGGAUCUUCGGACCUUGCGCGAUUGAAUGAGCCGAUGUCGGAUUAGCUAGUUGGCGGGGUAAAGGCCCACCAAGGCGACGAUCCGUAGCUGGUCUGAGAGGAUGAUCAGCCACACUGGAACGGAGACACGGUCCAGAGUCCUACGGGAGGCAGCAGUGGGGAAUAUUGGACAAUGGGCGCAAGCCUGAUCCAGCCAUACCGCGUGGGUGAAGAAGGCCUUCGGGUUGUAAAGCCCUUUUGUUGGGAAAGAAAAGCAGCAGGUUAAUACCCCGCUGUUCUGACGGUACCCAAAGAAUAAGCACCGGCUAACUUCGUG
rnacentral:rRNA from 1 species